UGUUUCGCCCACAACAGACUUCUUCAAGUAGAAUAUAGUUUUUACUAUAUUCUACUUGAAGAAGCCUGUUGUGGGCGAAACGCGUCUAGAA